AAUUAGGUAGUGAAGUUAACAGUAAGUUGCAAGCUUGAAGAGGCCUAAGGCCCUAGUUA
rnacentral:tRNA from 2 species